rnacentral:rRNA from 1 species
GAUGAACGCUAGCUACAGGCUUAACACAUGCAAGUCGAGGGACCGGCGCACGGGUGAGUAACGCGUAUCCAACCUUCCCAUUACUGUGGGAUAACCUGCCGAAAGGCAGACUAAUACCGCAUGGUAAGGGAUGGGGAGGCGUCGGAUUAGUUUGUUGGCGGGGUAACGGCCCACCAAGGCGACGAUCAGUAGGGGUUCUGAGAGGCAGCCCCCCCACAUUGGAGCCGCGCCCCAGUCCCAUCUCGUACGGGAGGCAGGGGUGAGGAAGACUGUGCAAGGGGCGAGAGCCUGAACCUGCCCAGUAGCGUGCAGGAUGCCUGCCUAUGGGUGGUCAUCUGCUUUUGUAUGGGGAUCGGUACCAUCCGAAUAAGGACCGGCUAAUUCCGUGCCAGCAGCCGCGGUAAUAC